rnacentral:rRNA from 1 species
GACGAACGCUGGCGGCGUGCCUAAUACAUGCAAGUAGAACGCUGAAGGAGGAGCUUGCUUCUCCGGAUGAGUUGCGAACGGGUGAGUAACGCGUAGGUAACCUGCCUGGUAGCGGGGGAUAACUAUUGGAAACGAUAGCUAAUACCGCAUAAGAGUAGAUGUUGCAUGACAUUUGCUUAAAAGGUGCAAUUGCAUCACUACCAGAUGGACCUGCGUUGUAUUAGCUAGUUGGUGGGGUAACGGCUCACCAAGGCGACGAUACAUAGCCGACCUGAGAGGGUGAUCGGCCACACUGGGACUGGGACACGGCCCAGACUCCUACGGGAGGCAGCAGUAGGGAAUCUUCGGCAAUGGACGGAAGUCUGACCGAGCAACGCCGCGUGAGUGAAGAAGGUUUUCGGAUCGUAAAGCUCUGUUGUAAGAGAAGAACGAGUGUGAGAGUGGAAAGUUCACACUGUGACGGUAUCUUACCAGAAAGGGACGGCUAACUACGUG